CUUUCCCUCUUUCGUUAGGCCUAACACAUGCAAGUCGAACGGCAGCACAGUAAGAGCUUGCUCUUACGGGUGGCGAGUGGCGGACGGGUGAGGAAUACAUCGGAAUCUACUUUUUCGUGGGGGAUAACGUAGGGAAACUUACGCUAAUACCGCAUACGACCUACGGGUGAAAGCAGGGGAUCUUCGGACCUUGCGCGAUUGAAUGAGCCGAUGUCGGAUUAGCUAGUUGGCGGGGUAAAGGCCCACCAAGGCGACGAUCCGUAGCUGGUCUGAGAGGAUGAUCAGCCACACUGGAACUGAGACACGGUCCAGACUCCUACGGGAGGCAGCAGUGGGGAAUAUUGGACAAUGGGCGCAAGCCUGAUCCAGCCAUACCGCGUGGGUGAAGAAGGCCUUCGGGUUGUAAAGCCCUUUUGUUGGGAAAGAAAAGCAGCAGGUUAAUACCCCGCUGUUCUGACGGUACCCAAAGAAUAAGCACCGGCUAACUUCGUG
rnacentral:rRNA from 1 species